CUGCCUCAACUCAGCCAGGGGCCCCACCUGGCGCUGGAUGUGCUAUGUGCUGUCCAUGCUGAACUGCCAAGGCUCUCUUGGGUGUAGUGCACCUAGGCCAACUCCAGGCAGCUGCUGCAGAAUACCCAGGGCCCAACCCAGUGAGGCCAAAUGUGCCCUGCCCCAUACAGCCUCCCUUCCUCCUGGGCAGUUGCCUGCAGCCUUUAGAGCCCCACCCUCACCAGCAAUCAGCAGCUUCCAGCCCCCGCCCACCAUAGGAUGUUGCCAUGGAAUCCUCCAGGGGCCAGCAGGCAGAGCUGCUAGCUGGUGACGUUAGGGAUGGGGCACAGUGCAGCAUCUGCCCAUGCAGUAGGCCAGGCCAGCCUGUCUCAAAUGCCCAAACUCUCCCCUUAGACCCCUGUCAGGGUGCAGUAUGUCCUGGAGGCACGGUUCUCCACUGAGCAGGUCUGUGCCAGGAAUCAGCUGACCUUAGAGCCUGGCCUUGUGGCCCACAGCUUGUGAGGUCCUGACGUGGGACAGGUUCAUGGCAAAUGAAUUUGCCCAGGACCACACAGAGCAGCCCUGUGGUGGCCCCAGUAGGACACUAGUGGGGGCCCUACCCAGCAGGACAGGACAGGGGAAGUACCUCCCCCUGACAGACAGCAGAGGCAUCCUUCCCCUCCCCACUCAGCUGGAAUAGCCCAGGGCUUGGUACUUGGGUCACAGGGCUGGCAAGAGUUGGAGUGAGGACAGAGCCAUGUGGCUGAAGAAUAAGCCACAUGCAGACCCUCCUGGUGGGCAGUGGGCAAUUGCAGCCAAGGGCCCACUCUGGACUGAGUGAGCCAUCUGGCUCCAGGUACUUGCUGAGAUUUUGGCACCUCAAGCUCCAAAAUAGUACCUGGGAAGACUGACAGGGCAGGGAGUUACCCAUCUGCUCCUGCCUGGGCCCAACCAGAGACAUGCAUUCUGGGAGCCCCUGACCAGUAUGCAGUGAGGCCAGGGCUUGGGGCUCCUCCAGGUCCCUGACCUAAGGCCCUGCCAAGCUGCCUGCUGCUUGUGCAGGUGCCCUGGAGAUGGUGCUGGUGAGACCAUCAGGCUUCUUCCUGGACGUGGUUCAGGACCCUGAGACCUGUAUUUUGGGAAUGUUGAAAACCUUGUGCUCAGCAAAGCUCCAAAGCAGAGCAAGAGCAAACCAGUUGGGGCCUUAGCCCUGCUGCACAGCCCCCACCGGGUGCGGCCCCUUUAAGUGCUGCCCCCUUGGCUGCCAUUGGGGGCAGUACUGAGCAGCCAGGCCAGGAUCAGCGCUGCUGCCUGGAAGCUUCUGCCGGUGCCCGGGCGCAGCAGUGCGGGGGGGAUACAGAGGACCCGGCUGGAGCUGGUGCAGCCCACCCAGGAUUCGGGCAACAUCCAGGUAAGAGGCCAGGGUGAACUGCCUAGCAUGCUAUUGUCAAGCAGAAGCUAUCUGAGAGGAUGGGACAUCCCCGCCCCCAAGCAGCACAGGCUAGUUCCUGCGAUGGUUGCUCCAGGACAGGCCAGGGCAGGGCUGGGAGGUAAGGAAGGCUGCUUGGCCAUCCGUGUGGGCUCCAGAAGACCCAGGGUCCUGGAGUUGCCCAACGCCACCCGAUCCCCACAGGGAGGGGGUGUCAGAGUCCAGGUCCUGACAGCCGCAGCUGGCAACGCUGGCUGUCACCUCCCUGGGGCGGAGCCUCACACCCUGUCAUCCAGCCUAGAUUCCAGCCUGGCCUUGAGCUUAGGAUGAAAGAGGGGUCUGACCGGUGUGGGUAUUAGCCUGGGAUGGGGACAUAGACUGGACUUAGUAGCCCUGACCCAAAAGCAGCCCUGUGAGCAGAAAGCUGAUGCCCAGCUGGGACACAGUUGACCCUUCACAGCCUGUCCACCUACAGUCCUGCCAGGUGAGGGCAUGGCUAGCCCCUCAUUAAUUCCCCCAGUUUAUCCUGGGGCAGAUGCCCCCAAGUGGGUGCUGAGUAGGAGGAGGAGGGCUGUCACCUCUUUCUGAGCAUCUCCCCAGCCAGCCUCUGGCCCUGGGGACCUGGAGGCUCUGGUGGCCCAUAUCUGAACCCGAGCCUGGACCCAGCCAAGCCUGCAGCUCAGGGGCUGAAGAACCACAGGUUUCCAUGGAGCCUUCAGGAGUGGAAGGAGGAGGGGGUAGGGCCCUCUCCUGGGAGGCAGUGGGGGAGCUUUCCCCGCCCUCCACCCUGCCUCCCCCCCCACCCCCCGCAGCUGGCAGCCUCCUGGCCGAGUGAGCUAAUUCUCAGCUGAGGAAGAUGGAUGCCAUAAGUACAUGGUUCCAUGGCCUGGGCCUGACUUUGAGGCUGCCAUGAAUACACCAGGCGGUGUCCAUGUGCACUUAUGCAAAGCUGGUGGGGACGAUCUUCAGCCUUCCUUGCCUGCCCCAUCAAGCCUGGUGGAUUUCAGCCACCCCAAGACAGCUGGGGUCAAAGGAGGCCCAGGCAUGCUCUCUGAGGACUUUUUUAUGGCCUGGGCCACUCGGAGUUGAGGACAUUUUUGCUUUGGAUGCUUUGGAUGCAGUCAAGUGUCCCCAGCCCUGUGUACUGACCAGGCUGAGCACACCAGGUACUGUGCUCAGCCUGGUCAGCAGGCUAGUGGGGAUGUCUGAGACUUUCUGUAGGACUGGCUAAGGCUAGGGUCCUGGGACUUGCCCUCUCACUUUUCACAAUUAAAAGGGUCACUCUGCAUUGGGCAUUGUACGGGAAUCUAUACCUGUAAAUCAAUUCCAGUAAAGCUAAAAUGAGCCCCAUCAUUCCAGCUGUGGACACCAGAGGGCAGUAGUCCUAGGACCAUUUCCCCACUUUCCUCUCCUACCCACCUGCCUGCUCUGCCAAGAAAGGGGGUUCUGUCUAUCCAAACCUGCCCAGGGGUCACUAGCAAGGAGAGGAAUUCUGCCUAGGGACAAGAAGGCAUGGACCACUGCAGGCUAAGCCCUUCAGGCUGACCUGGCCCACCCCCAUCUGCAGGAAUCUCUAAGGUCAGCAUGGGUACCUCUAAGGCCGGCAUGGAGCAAGCGCCUGCGGCCUUGGCAAAGGCCUGCAGCCAGGGUUGCUUCACUCCCUGCGCCCCAGGGCAAAAGCCCCAAAAGGCCGCGUGAGCUGGAGCCGCCAGCCUGGGGACGUCUUUUAAGAUGACCCGCACGGACCCACCGGACCUGCUGGUGUCUACCGUGUACCAGGACAUCAAGGUGGCGGCCCCGGGGCCAGCGUCCAGGCGCCAGCCAUGUGAGCAAUCCGUGGCCCGGCCUGGUGCGCCCGCGCCUUUCAACAAGCGCCACUGCCGCAGCUUCGAUUUCCUGGAGGCACUGGACGGGCCGGCCAUGGAGGCCCACUCAGAGCCUCCACUCCCGGAGCCCGCUGCUCCGCGCGCGCGGCCCCGAGAAGGCGAACCUCGGCGUCGCGCCCGCUCCAAGAGCGCGCCCCGCGCGCCCCCGGGCCUGGCACCGGCGCCCACCUCGCCGCCGGUGCUGCAGCGCCGAGGCCGGGAGACUCAGCGUGCGAUGCGGGUAGAGGGGUCGCCUCGCCGGGAGCCUGCGUACCCCGCGCUGCGCGCUCUCGCCAACGAACUGCACCCUAUUAAGCUGCAGCCACAACGGAGCGGCCCUGGCCGCAUCACGCCCCUGUGUGCCGCCCCUGGCCGCUGUGCGCCACCAGAGCCCCCCACGGGGCCCGCCCCCCAUGUCCGAUGCCGACUGGACAUCAAGCCAGAUGACGCUGUGCUGCAGCACGCCGCCCGGGGUUCGCGGCCCUGUGGGCCCGUAGACAACACGUCCUGGGCCCGUGCAGCCCCGCAGUUCCAUGGCCUUACGGUGCCUGGUCCCCGCCACGUGGCGCUCUCGCGUACCCCCACCCCCAGUGACUUGUACUGUGCGGACCCCCGGGCGCUGUACUGCGACGGGCCCCUGCCUGGGCCUCGGGACUACUCUGAGCGCCGCAGUCAGCCCUUCAGCACACCUCCAGGCCCUACACAAUUCUUCUACACCGAGGAGCCUGAGGGCUAUGCAGGAGGAUUUCCCGCCAGCCCUGGUCCUCCCUUUGAUGGCUACUGCCCUAGGCCCUACCCAUCCGAAGAGACCCGGGGUCCCAGUCCGAGGCGUGGGGGCGGCUACUAUGGAGGGGAAGUGCGCACUUUCCCGAUCCAGGAACCACCCUCCCGCUCCUACUACGGGGAGGUCCCCAGGGCCUAUGGACUGCCCUUUGUUCCCCGCUACGUUCCUGAAGAUCCUCGGGCCCACACCUUUUAUACAGAGGACUUUGGGAGGUACCGCGAGCGUGACGCCCUAGCUCGGACUUACCCGCACUCACGCAACAGCUCAGCCUGGGCCGACUGGGGACCCCGGCCUUACCGCACCUUGCAGGUAGUGCCUCCCUCGGUCCCCGGCCCGCUGUUGGCCUCGUGGCAUGGUGGCACCGGCACCAGCCCGCCCCGGCUGGCCACAGACAGCCGCCACUACUCACGCUCAUGGGACAACAUCCUGGCGCCAGGGCCCCGCCGGGAGGACCCCCUAGGCCGGGGCCGCAGCUAUGAGAACCUGCUAGGGCGGGAGGUGCGGGAGCCGCGGGGCGCAUCCCCCGAGGGCCGGCGCGCGCCAGUAAUAGUGAACUUGUCCACCUCACCCAGACGCUAUGCGGCGCUCUCUCUGUCUGAGACCUCGCUGUCCGAAAAGGGCCGUGCCGGGGAAGGCCUGAGCCGUAACUGGUAUGUCACUCCAGAGAUUACCAUCACCGACAACGACCUGCGCGCCGCCGAACGCCCGACUGUCAGGAGCUGGGAACUGCCGGGAGGCCGGCCGCGUCUGCCCGCGUCGGCGGCUCCCAUGGGCCCCACCUCUGGCCGCCAGCGCAGCCUAGAGCAACUAGACGAGCUCAUUACCGAUCUGGUCAUCGACUCCAGACCACCGGCCGGCCAAGCCCCAGAGCCGGCGGCAGAGGGGCUGGGCCGCCAGCUGCGCCGCAGCGCGCUGGACUCACGGCCCGCGGGCCCUGGAGCCCCGGCGCUGGCGCCUCCGCGUUCGCCCCCUGCCUCUGCUGGCAGCGUCGAGGAGCCUGCAGGCCCGGGCGAGGCAGCCAACGGGUCUCCAGAACCCAGUGCGGACGAGGACGAUCUGAUGACCUGCUCCAAUGCGCGCUGCCGGCGCACGGAAACCAUGUUCAACGCCUGCCUCUACUUCAAGUCCUGCCACAGCUGCUACACUUACUACUGUUCACGCCUGUGCCGCCGCGAGGACUGGGACGCACACAAGGCGCGCUGCGUAUACGGCCGCGUGGGCAGCGUGUGCCGCCACGUGCUUCAGUUCUGCCGUGACAGCGGCCCCGUGCAUCGCGCUUUCUCGCGCAUCGCUCGUGUCGGCUUCCUGUCCCGCGGCCGCGGCGUGCUCUUCCUGGGCUUCCCAAGUCCUGGCUCGGCCGACAACUUCCUGCGCUUCGGUCUCGAAGGGCUGCUGUUGUCGCCCACUUACCUGUCCCUGCGCGAGCUGGCUACACACGCAGCGCCCCUGGGCAGCUAUGCGCGAGAGCUGGCGGCCGCAGGGCGGCUCUAUGAGCCGGCCGAGUGCUUCCUACUCAGUGUGUCGGUGGCGGUAGGUCCGGGCACCGCGCCCUCUGGGGCGCCCGCUCGGCCGGCGCCCGCGCCUCGCAGCACUGGGCCCACUGUGCGCAAGUUCGCCAAGGUGGCACUGGCUGCAGGCAGUCCGGCGCGGCCGCCCCCCGUGCGGGGCCGUGAGCCUGACAUGGAAACAUUGAUUUUGACCCCGCCACCAGGCACGGCGGGCCUGGACCAAGAGGGCGAGGCGGGCCGGCGGGCUAGAGAGGUGGCCUUCAUCCACAUCCAAAGGGAGCUGCGGCUGCGAGGUGUAUUCCUGCGCCACGAGUUCCCGCGCGUUUAUGAGCAGCUCUGUGAGUUCGUGGAGGCCAACCGACGCUUCACGCCCACCACCAUCUACCCCACAGACCGGCGCACCGGCCGCCCCUUCAUGUGCAUGAUCAUGGCUGCUUCUGAGCCACGCGCGCUGGACUGGGUGGCCAGCGCCAAUCUGCUGGACGAUAUCAUGUGAGGCUUGAGGACACCAGACUCAGGCCCUGAUCAGAAUCCUUGCCUAGCCCACUCAGGCCCCGCCCGGUCCACUCAGGGCCGCCCCCGAGCCCCGCCCAACUCACUGAAUCCAUCCAGGCCCAGACCAGCCCCUCAUGCUGCUUCUCUUGAGCCCUGCCCGGACAAAUUUCCCAGCUCCCCCCAUUUUCCCACACCCCACUGUGCUCUCCCAACUCUUUCCUCCCCACAACAACUCACCGGGCUGCCCAGUUCCCAUCUUCCAGAGUCAGCCCUCCUGGCCCACAGAGACCGGUCCUCGCCCUAGGUGCUCCCCGCUGGGAGGUGGGGUGGGCCAGAGGACCUCCAGGCUCUGCCUUUUUGCUGAGGGUCACUACUGCACAGACCCUGCAAAUGGAUCCAUAUCUGCUCUGGGGCUCUGAUGAAGCCUCUGCUCUCCCUCCCUGCUCGUCCAGGAGCCUGUGUUGACCAAAGUCUAGUAUAGACACUUUAAGCUCACCUCCUGUCUCUGGGGUGUGAUCCCCUCAGAGACCUUUCUUCCUGGAGAACACCCUGAUUAGCUUUCGUGCAUUCAUGCCCCAAGUGAGAAAGCUAUGUGUGAGUGCCGAGCCGGACUCUGAAGUGUUGCUCAUCCUGCAGCCUCUCACCUCUGACCACCUUGGUCUAAGUCUUGCAGGAGAGGUUGGAUACUCAGAGGUCUUCAAGCCAAGGGCAAGCCCACCAGCCAGAGGGGAUUUGGGGCAGGAAAAGCAGAGCAUCUGGGUGUGGGCACAUGCCAGGCAAGGGUCUGGGGUCUGCCCAUACCCAACAAGAUGGCCCUAGACAGGUGCCAGAGCAGAACCUGGUGGUGGGCAUGCAAAGGCAGGCCCUAAUUUGGCAGGAGAUCAGAAGCAUGUACAUAGGAUGGGCCAGCUGGGAGGACAGCACAGAGGCCUUCCAGGAAGCUACAUCUACCUGCUGCCAAAGGAAGGACCUGGAAGGUUCAGGGGGAUCCUCAGCUAGUUGCUGGGUAGAGAAAGAGGAGUGAGUUAGCAGCCAAUGGAGUUUCAACUGAAGAGCUAUGUGACAAGCCCGAGGUCAGGUCCCUCCACUGCACGAUUGCACACAGGUCCCAGUGCUUUCACUCUGCUACUCACGAGCUUGGUAUGCCUUGGGGAGCGCAUACCCAGACGGCCCUACGCUGUGCCCUCUCCCCACCACUCUUCCCUUGGGCAUCCUGCUCCGCACCGGGGCUCCAAAGAGGACUGAGAAAGGAGAUAAGCCAGGCGCUGUGCAAGGGUCCUCGUGGAUCCUCUAAUCCCUUCGGAGCCAGAGGAGGGGGCAUUAAGCGCGAUAAAUUGUGAGCCCUGCCUCCGCGCCCUGCUCUCACCCCUGACGGUGUCUCCACCCCGACACUCCUGAGCCCCCGCCCGGGCCUGCGAUUUGCACCGGCCCGGUGCCCCGCUUGCUGCAAUCGCUGCUGCGCCCCGCCACGGGACCUCCGCAUAGGGCCCCGCGCCUGAGGGCCCACAGGAACGCCCCUGGACGGGAAUCGUUUCUAGAGGGCGAGCGCUUUCAAACCAAUCCACUUUCCCUUUAAAUGCGGCAGCGUGGGCACAAGGCUGCAAGGAACUGCACCGCGAUUGGUCAGUCCGUGCCCCAGGUCCGGGGCACGACUGGCUGAGGCUCCGGGCCUCAGGCAGCAUCUACCCACGGGAUUGGCC